rnacentral:lncRNA from 1 species
CUCUGUUUCCCCUUCACUUCCCCUGGUCAGGGUCCAUCAGACAAUCCGUGUGGCUGACAGAGUGAGUGAGAAACCCCAGCCCUUCCGGCCAGAAGCUGUGUGUGCUCCCGAAACUGCCAUGCAGGACCUCAGUAGAUGUGUGCCAUAGAACCACAAGCAAGCUCAGAUAAAUGACUAGGAAGCAGGAAGAUGCAUCUGAUGGCUUCUCUGCAUGAAGACCAAAUAAAAGGAACCUUGUACGUGGACUCUUUUUAAAAAUUAAAAUUUAUUUUGUUUCUUGCAUCUAAUAUAGAAAUAAUUCAUAUUCAUUGUGGAAGAUCUGUGGGAAAAAAAAUAGAAAGAAAAAAAGACUCACCUGUCAUCUACCAAACACCAAUAGACACAAUUGAAAUGAUGAUGUGUUUCUAAUGUUUUUUUUAUAAAGAUCUUUUCAUAGCUAUGUUCAUCCUGAAAAUUCUGAAAAGAGCAGCAACAUUUCCAGUACAUUAUUGAUAUGCACACACAUACAGUAUAUACACAUUGUAUUAGACUGUUCUGGCAUUGCUAUAAAGAAAUACCUGAGAUUGAGUAAUUUAUAAAGAAAAGAAGGUUUAAUUAGCCACAAUUCUGCAGGCUGUAAAGGAAGCAUGAUGUUGGCAUCUGCUCGACUUCUGGAGAGGCUUCAGGAAACUAACAAUCAUGGCAGAAGGUGAAGAGGAAGCAGGCACUUCACAUGGCCAGAGCAGGAGCAAGAGAGAGAGGGCGGAGGUGCUACACACCUUUAAAUGACGAGAUCUCAUAAAGAAGUCACUCACUAUUGCAAGGACAGUACCAAGGGGAUGGUACUAAAUCAUUCAUGAGAAAUCUGCCCCCAUGAUUUAAACACUUCCCACCAGGUCCACCUCCCAUAUGGGGAAUUACAACUGAACAUGAGAUUUGGGUGAGGACACAGAUCCAAACCAUAUCAGAUAUAAAGUAUGUAUAUAUGAAAAGGUAAUGGGAAUGUUUAUCAUAUGUUAUAUAUAUUCCUCCACUUUAUAUAUAAUAUAAAUAUUGAGAUAUAAACAUUAUGAAUAUAAAUUAUAUAUGUAAAUAUAAAUUAUAAUUAUAGGCUGGGCAUGGUUGCUCACGCCUGUAAUCCCAGCAUUUUGGGAGGCCGAGGCAGGCAGAUCACUUGAGGUCAGGAGUUUGAGACCAGCCUGGGCAGCAUGGUGAAACCCCAUCUCUACCA